rnacentral:rRNA from 1 species
GGUUGAUCUUGCCAGGACUCAUAUGCUUGUCUCAAAGAUUAAGCC